UAUAUAUAUAUAUCAUAUCAUAUAUAAUAUAAGGUUUAUAAUAUAAGGAAGACAGAUUCAUGUGCUAUAAUUCAGACAAAAAGAAAUCACCAUAAUAAAUUUAAAAGCGGCCACUGAACAUCACUGCUCCCAUGGAAUUUAUAGUCAGAGAGGGAAAAUCAAGUAUGGAUAUGGAAUUCAUAAUGCGAUAAGUGUUUGAAAGGCAAAUAACAGAGUAUUGGAGUAAAUGAGCCGGGUGUGUGUACGUAUCCAGUUUAGACAGAGGGUGGUAGCCGGCCUCCACAAUAGGCAGUGAUGUUAGUGGUGCCUGACAGCCAUGCCUUUUAUAGUCUCCUCUUACGCUGAAUGGGGCUGACAAGUGUGACUCAUAGUAUAUUGGGGAAAUACAGAGCUUGAGUUCCAAAGUCAGAAAAACACUGUGACUUCCUCUUUGCUCUCUCUUGAUCACUCAUGGGAAAUCCCACAUAGUGAGGUUCACAUGGGCAGUUACCAAGCCUCCGGUCAAUAACUAACUCAGCAUGGCAGUCAAAUGGAUUAACUAUCUCCAGAGUUCAUCCUCCAGUCCCAGGUCAGCUGACUGCGGUUCUGACCCUAAAUCUUUUAAUUGUGUGUGGGGUGUGUAGGUGUGGGUGGGUGGGUAUGGGUGUGGCAUAUGCACACAUGUGCGUGCACCUAUGCAGACUGAGACCAGAGGCGUGUAUCAGCAGGUGUCCAGCUGUAUUACAUUCCACGUUAUUCCCUUGAGAAAGGGAAGCCCCAGGAUCCUGUUUCCACUCUGCCUUGGCACUGGGGGUAAAGGUGUAUGUGUGACCGCACCUGGCUUUGUACUUGGGUACUUGCGAUUCAAACUCAUAUCUUUAUGCUUGCUCAGCGAGCCCUCUUACCCACUGAGUCAUCCCCAGCCCCGAAAUCAAUUGUGUAGAUGGAUUUCUGGGUUGUUGUUGUUUUUUUCCGUUUUCUUUUCCAGCGUCAAGGAUGAAAGCUCAAGCAUACUGCUCCAAAUCCCUGCUGCUGUAACUUCCUCCCAAUGACAGACUAUAAUCUCAAACUGGCCUGUGCUGCCCCGACCAGCCUCAAAUUUUCAAUCUUCCGGCCUCAGUGUCACCAGAACAGCACAGUAUUUUGAGUUUUGUACAAGAAGUGUUUGCAGAUCCAGGAGAAACAUCAGACACACUUGGAAGCCAUAGGACGCUUUCCAGGAGAGGCGAAUGUCAACCUCUCAGCAGAGCGCACCGCAUCGUAGAAAGGCAGAUCCAGACCAGGGCUCCCCAUCCCAGUCUCCUGUCCCCCCAUCCGGAACUUUGACUCUCUGGAGCACCUCCAUCAUGGAAGCCGCAUAAGUUUCAUGGGCACCACACCAGCAUCUGGGUCCAGCUCACAUUAUCUUGGCCUUGAAGCUUUCUCCAGGCCCACAUGGGACUCUCCAGGCAGUGCCUGCCACUGAGGGAAGCAGAGAGCCCUGAGUUCUGGCUGAGAGCAACGGCUGAGCCCUCACCACUGACCACCUCAGCAGCGAUGGGCCUGUGACUUGCAUUUGCUCAUGUGAACCCCCCACCAAUGCUGAUGAAACCGAGGCAGAGAGGUUGAAUGGCGGUGAAUCUAGCUGUAAAUUGUUGCAUCCUGAAUACGAGGUGGCCCCUCAAAAGGUUCACGUGGCGGGGAGUGUGGAGAGAUGACUCAGUAGUUAAUUGCACUUGUUGGUCUUACAGAGGAUCCAGGUUCAGUUCCCAGCACCCACAGAGCAGCUCACAACUGUCUGUAAUUCCAGUUGCAAGGGAUCUGGCAUCCUCUUCUGACUUCUGUGAGCACCAGGGAUGCAAUGGUGGAGAUACAUACAUGCAGACAAAACACUCAAACACAUAAAUAAACCUUAAAACAAAAAGGUUCGUGAGUUGAAGACUUGUUUCCCGAUGUGUUUGAGUUCAGAACUGGGUUUUGGAGAAUUAAUUAAAUCCUGAUGGCAUCUCCAUUGAUGGAUUCAUAAUUUGAUGAUGCUAUGGGGGGCGGGGGACGAGAUAGAGCCUACUUGAAAGAAGUAGAUAACUGGGAGGAGCAUGGUGGGAGGAGCCCGGUAGGAGCAGACCUGAUGGGAGUAGGCUGGGAAAGAAAUUUGUCUCUAGCGGCUUCCUGUACCUCACCAUGCUUUCCUGCCUGUCAGGUGAGCAGCUACACUCCACCACACCCUGUCUGUGGUGAUGCCGGCCCAGAGCAAUGGAGCCAAGCAAUCGUGGAUCAAAAUCUCUAAAGCUGUGAGUCAAAAUGAGUCCUCUUUUAGACUGUUUCUCUCUGGCAUCUGUCACAGCGACAUUCUGACUAACACAACAUUAAUCACUGUUGUAGCCAGGGUGCAGAGGCAGGACUUUGAGCUCCUUGGCUAAACCACAAACAAGCCUGCAAUUCCUUCAUUCAAUAGACAUUUGUCGAGUGCAUACUUAUUUUUAAUUUUUUUAUAUUAUUUUAUGUGUAUGAAUGUCUUGCCUGUAUGUAUGUAGGUACACCACACAUGUGUGCCUAGUGUCCUCAGAGGUCAGAAGAAGGCAUUGGGUCUCCUGGAACUGGAGUUACAAACUGUUGUGGUAGGUGCUGGGAACUGAACCCAGGUCUUCUGCAAGAGCAGCCAGUGCUCUUGACCACCGAGCCACCUCUUCAGGUGGGAGCACCUACCCCUACAGUCAGCACUUGCUAGGGAAGCAGUGAGGAAAUGUGGACCCCACCUUAACAAAUUAUCAUCCAGCAAGGAAGACAGAUUUAAAGUUCCGACACCAAAGAUUAUUUAUCACAUACACAGUAGUGUUAACAGAAUUUUAUGUGUAUGUGUCUGCACAUGUGGAGGUCAGAGGUCAACUUUUGGUGCGGUUUUUCAGACACCAUCUGUUUUGUUUGUUUUUAAGUGAUAGAAACAGAGGCAGAUUAUUUUGGUCUCAUUUACCUAUUUACUCAUUUUAAUCUUAGUGUUUGUGUGUCUAUGUGUACAUUCAUGUGUGUGUGAACACGGGUGUGCACAUGUGGAGGUCGGACAUCAGCCUCAGGUGUCAGGCCUCGAUUUCCCCUGUGUUUGAGACAGAUCUCUUGGUGGCUACUGCGUAAACCAGGUCAGGUGGCCCACAGGCUUCCAGGGACAGUCCAGUCUCUGUCUCCUUUCUCAGUACAGGAGCACUAGAAUGACAAGCCUCAUCCUGCCUUCAGUGGGGUCUGGGGAUGCAAACUCAGGUUCUCAUGCUUGCAGAGCCAGCAAGUGAGUUACCCACUGAGUCACCCUCACAGCCCCAGAGAGUUUACUAAAGGGAUGGGUGCUCCCCAGGACAGGAGUGAUCUGAACAUUGACAGCAUCGAGACUGAAAACCUACCUUGUUUUAUAUAAGACAGGUCUCUCAGUGGGACCUGGGACUUGCCAGUUAGGACAGACUGGCUGUCCGGCAGGCCCCAGGGACCUACCCGCCUCCACCUCUCCUUCACUCAGAUUGCAAACAGCCUACUUAGGCUUUCAUGGUAAGAACUCUAUCGAGUCAGGUAAGACAAUGAUAGGAAGAAAAGUCGGAUCUCUGGAUGGUUUUUUUUUUUUCAAUUUGGGGAUCAGUAACUCUUCCCUUAUUUUUAUAUUUUGUAGCUAAGCAAUGCAGGAGGAUGCCUACAUGUUCACAGGGCACUUCUUUCUCUGAGUCACAGAUUUCCCAGCUAUAAAAAUGGGAACAAAAAAUAGCAAUAACAGCCAGGCGUGGUGGCACAUGCCUUUAAUCCCAACACUUAGGAGGGAGGCAAAAGCAGGUGGAUCUCUGUGAGUUCGAGGCCAGCAUGGUCUACAGAGUGAGUUCCAGGACAGUCAGGACUACACUGAGGGACCUAGGCUCAAAAAGCAACAAAAGCCUGAAGCAACUCAAACCGUCACCCACAGGGGGCGUUAGAAAGAUGACGGUUCAUCUAUGCUGUGGACUACGCAGCAUUUUAAACGCAUGGGGCAGGCCAAGCGUGGUGAUGCACGCUUGCAAUGCCAACUGAGGAAGGAGAAUUUUGAGUUUGAGACCAGCUUGGACUACAUACUGAGAAUCUGUCUAAACAAAACAAAACAUAAACCAGAAAGCAGGAGGCAGUUUGGAAUGCUGGAGAAGGAUCCUUAAGGCAAAAUAAAGGAAAGGAGGCAGGCCCCCGAGGUAAAGGAGUACUGCGCGAUGCACACAGAUGUCCAGCAAGGAUGUGCAAGAAACAGAGAAUGGGUCUCUCCAGGAAGGAAGCCAGCACCUACAGCCUGGAGGAGGCUCCCCGGGGUUGGUUGGUUUGUUUAGAGGGAGUCUGGCCACAUAGCCAGUCUGGUCCUCCUGCUUCAACUUCGCCUGUGCUGAGGUUACAGAUGCCAUCACACCCAGCUCAAGACUUAAUCCAUUUGUUUCUUUUGUUCUCUUCUACUUCUGUUUUGAAAAGGCAGAGUCUCAUGCAGCCCAGGCCAACUGAGGCUAGCCUUGAAUUCUGUCUCUACUUCCCAAGUGCUGAGAUUACAGGCAUAUGCCACAUAUUUAAUGUGUCAUUUUGUACCUUUGGGUUUUAUAUUGUAUUCAUGUAUGUUCCUGGAAGAUAUAUAUUAAUCAGUCUAAGAAAAAUGUAAAUAUUUUAAAAUUUUAAUGCUCGUGUGCAAGGUGUCCAUGGAGACCAGAAGAGGAUGUCAGAUCCCUUGGAGCUGGAGUUACAGGCAGUAUGAGCCCCCUCCCCCGACAAGGGUGCCGAGAAAUGAACUUGGGUUCUCUGGAAGCAUUAAGUGCUGCUAGUCUCUCCAGCCCAAGAAAAUUUGCAUAUAACAUUUAGGCGAGAGAAAAAAAAAUUCAGUCGCUCUCCCUGUUCCCAUUAGCCUCCUGAACAAUGAUAUUGUUAUUUUCAAAGGAGAGGUUGCAUACAUCAGCCUUGGGAGGAUCUAGAAGGAUUAGAACAUGUGUUGCUUACAGUGAGAUGACAGAGGACUAAGAGGCCAAGCAGGAAACAGAGAAAAGAGGAGGGAGCGUCAGGAGAAACAAAGAGCCUCUGCCUACAUACAAUGACCUCCGAAUAAGAAAUCCGCAAUUACUUUAGUGCCCCUGAGACCCCGAGCUCCUUGCACUGCCUGCUUCUUUGUUACCAGCUGCCAGGUUGUCAUGGUAAUGGAAUAACCUAUGAUAAGCUUAUUUUCAAUUCUGAAAACAUUUUAAAUAAAAGCAAAUACCAGUAAUCUGCAGACGAGCUGCAGUGAGAGAAAGGUCCAUGGGAGAGAAAGCAUCAGGGUGGCCUUUCCAGGGCGGACACCUGGCUUAAAGCUAGUGGAGUGAGCAGAGAGCGGAGGGUCAGAAACCUGGACAGGCAUCUGAAGUGCCAGAGGCGAGUCUGGUCAUCACUUCCUGCUCCAGCAGGUCGGAUGCGUGUGGUGCUUUGACGCAGUUCCCAGCAAGUGCACAGAGUGCCGGUUGGGGCCACAUUUGAAAAACCACUGUGGUAAUGGCUCUGCCCUGGGCUCUGUGAGUGCUGUGCUCCAGCCUCCGCUCACCCUAGACACAUCUACCCCUCUCUAUGGGUCUCCUCUAUCACCAAGUGGCACAACGUCCUAACAUCCUUACAAGAGUUAUGGGGCAGACACCUUCGGGGCCAACGGCUUUUCAGGGCAGCUUCCAAAGCAGAGGUCUAUGCCUCGUGUAGAUGAGAGGAUGGGAAGACUGGCCAGUGCCUAGCUGUUCUUGCUAGAACUCCUUCAUUCAGCUGGCUCGUCGGGCCGUAGGGAUGGCCAACAUGGACCACUGGGCCAGAGAGAAGGUGAUUGUUCAUUAUGAGUAUAAUUAAGGAGGGGCCAGAGCUGGCUGGACUUGGAAGAGACAGAAGUUGUCUUCAGGAACCACAGUUGACCUCAGAAAUUGAUGUGAGGGCCAACAGGUUCAAAAGCCAACCCCAUCCAACACACACAGUUUUCUGAAUAGAAACAGAGUUGAGCCUCAGCACUAGCGACUGAGGCAGGAGGAUCACUACAAAUUUCAGGUCAGCGAUACCUGAGCUUAAAACAAAACUGAACAUCAACAACAACAAAUGCCAGGGUUGAUGAUGUGGCUCAGUUUGAAAGAGCACAAGGCCCUGGGUUCCACCUCUGGCACCACAUAAGCCCAGCAUAGUGGAGCACAUCUGUAAUUCUAAUACUGGGAUGCGGUGGGGCAGAAGCACAAAUAUCAGAAGUUCAAGGUCACCUUUGGCACAAAGCAAGUUUAAGGUCAGCCAGGGCUACA